rnacentral:lncRNA from 1 species
GUACCCGCCUCCUAUGGAAUCCUCCUCAGCCAACCCUACAUGGUACUGUAUAAAAUUUCUGCUUUAAUUCAAUCUUUGGCAAUUACAAUUUCUCUAGCUCGAGUAUGCAGCAUUAUGUAAUUAUAUUUGGGUUAUACAGCAGCAGUAGGUAAUUGUAAUUUCUAUACCUCACCUGAUUCAGCAUGUGUACGUGUUGAAGCAGAGAGACUCUGAAGUAUUAGCCUGAAUUUCUGUAGCAUUAGACAUUACAAUUCUUCAGGUUUUUGCUUGCUGAAUCGAACUAGUGUAGCUUUUCCAGUGAUCAAAUGCUCACGUUUAUAAUUUUUGUCAGCUAGUUAUUCAAUCCACAUAGACUGAACCAAAAAUACUUUAUACAUUCAGCAACCAUGUAGAGUGCAUUUUUGUUUGUACAUUUUUCUUGCAAUGAUUAGAACAGACAAAAGUUUCUAAUAGUAAGCUCUCAUCGGCUACACUACAUUUAAAUGGAGUUGUACUAUGCUUUUUAGCUUCUGGUCUGAUUUGUACUACAGUACAUUUAAAUGGAGUUGUACUAUGCUUCUUAAUUCCGAUAUUUACAUAAUAACAGGAGGCCGAUGUAUACCUCUGCACCUGAAGGCCUACUAAGUUUUGGACAAUUACCGCCCAUGAAUCUUUAUAAUUUUCAACCUCAGACAAUGCACCAUCAUGAACAGGGACACCAAAAUAUGGAGAAUUUGCACUUUGUUGGUGCUUCCCCACAUGAUCCCUUUUCAACACCACCGCCACCACCGCACUCUUGAUUUGAACUAUGAAGCCGGCUCAUCGAUUGUCCUUCCUUCGGUAUUUACUCAUGGUGACAUACCAGAAUUUGCCGAGGUACUUGAAAGAGAUGCUAGAGUUCGUGAUCGUCCGACGCAUAAGGCUCUUAAAAAUGAUCUGAUUGAGCAUAUAUGGAGAAAGUUUGGGCGAGAAUAGAUUACAUUCAAGUCUUGAUGUAUUGCUAAAUAUGUUUUAUAUAUUUUAAUUAUAUUAAAUUCAUACUAUAUUAUUUAUUAUGAUCCAAGUUUGGCGUCCUCUUAUAUAUACAUGGAUAUAGGAAAACACAAUUUUGUGGUACAUGCCAUAUAUAGAUCACAAAGUUGAAGUACUAUUAUAGAUCCCACAAAAUCAAUAAAUAAACCCCCUAAGUUCCCAUCCAUUAUGGAGGUAGUAACAUAGACUAGUAACAUGCUUACGUGGCAUAUAUGUUACUACUCUAUGUUCCUCCCCUGUGACUAGCCUUACACGUCGCACGCACCGGGCAGGCGGCCAC